CUCGUGGCACUUUCUCCUCACAAGCUUUCGAGGCGCCACAGGAGGCUGUUGCACCUUUGGGCCCUCCCGGGCUGGGGCCUGGCCCGCCCCGGCCCUCGGUCCCUGGGCCUUGGGGGCCCGAUCCCCUCCCUCCCCCCACUGUGGGUGGCUCCCUGAAGGCCCCGGCCCCCACCCCCCAGGGCCUCCGUGGCAGGGCUGGUGGGUCCCUCAGACUAACAGGCCUGGCAGCAACUGUGGAGGUGGUCUCCAUGCUGUGUCUCUGUCGUGACAUUAGGAAAAAAGUCAACCUGGACCUUGUGUCUCUGACAGCCUGUUAGGUUCAAAUCACCAUGAUGCCAGGGAUGAUCCUUUUCAGGCAACCUUGACCACUAGCCUUUCCUUGGCAUAAGACUGGAGAGUCAUGAAAGAAAUUUGAAGCCUCCCGCUGUGCACCAUUCUCCUCACCCUGGAAAAAUGCUUCCCUUCUGAGGGGAAAUAUGCUUCAGGUAUGGUAGAGAGCUAUAUGA
rnacentral:lncRNA from 1 species